rnacentral:rRNA from 1 species
AUUGAACGCUGGCGGCAGGCCUAACACAUGCAAGUCGAACGAGUGGCGGACGGGUGAGUAAUGGCUGGGAAACUGACUGAUGGAGGGGGAUAACUACUGGAAACGGUAGCUAAUACCGCAUACCAGCAGAUGUGCCCAGAGGGGAGUAGCUUGUUGGCGGGGUAACGGCUCACCAAUGCGACGAUCCCGAGCUGGUCUGAGAGGAUGACCAGCAACGCUGGAUCUGAGACACGGUCCAGAAUCCUACGGAAGGCAGCAGUGGGGAAUAUUGCACAAUGGGAACAAGCCUGAUGCAGCCAUGCCGGUUGUAUGAAGAAAGCCUUCGGGUUGUAAAGUACUUUCAGCGGGGAGGCGUUACCCGCAGAAGAAACACCGACUAACUCCGUGCCAGCAGCCACGGUAAUUC